ACGAACGCUGGCGGCACGCUUAACACAUGCAAGUCGAACGAGAGAAGAGGAGCUUGCUUUUCUGAUCUAGUGGCGGACGGGUGAGUAACACGUGAGCAAUCUGCCUUUCAGAGGGGGAUACCGAUUGGAAACGAUCGUUAAUACCGCAUAACAUAAUUGAACCGCAUGAUUUGAUUAUCAAAGAUUUAUCGCUGAAAGAUGAGCUCGCGUCUGAUUAGCUAGUUGGUAAGGUAACGGCUUACCAAGGCGACGAUCAGUAGCCGGACUGAGAGGUUGAUCGGCCACAUUGGGACUGAGACACGGCCCAGACUCCUACGGGAGGCAGCAGUGGGGAAUAUUGCACAAUGGAGGAAACUCUGAUGCAGCGAUGCCGCGUGAGGGAAGAAGGUUUUAGGAUUGUAAACCUCUGUCUUCAGGGACGAAAAAAGACGGUACCUGAGGAGGAAGCUCCGGCUAACUACGUGCCAGCAGCCGCGGUAAUACGUAGGGAGCGAGCGUUGUCCGGAAUUACUGGGUGUAAAGGGAGCGUAGGCGGGAUCGCAAGUCAGAUGUGAAAACUAUGGGCUUAACCCAUAAACUGCAUUUGAAACUGUGGUUCUUGAGUGAAGUAGAGGUAAGCGGAAUUCCUAGUGUAGCGGUGAAAUGCGUAGAUAUUAGGAGGAACAUCAGUGGCGAAGGCGGCUUACUGGGCUUUAACUGACGCUGAGGCUCGAAAGCGUGGGGAGCAAACAGGAUUAGAUACCCUGGUAGUCCACGCCGUAAACGAUGAUUACUAGGUGUGGGGGGACUGACCCCUUCCGUGCCGCAGCAAACGCAAUAAGUAAUCCACCUGGGGAGUACGACCGCAAGGUUGAAACUCAAAGGAAUUGACGGGGGCCCGCACAAGCAGUGGAGUAUGUGGAUUAAUUCGAAGCAACGCGAAGAACCUUACCAGGUCUUGACAUCGUAUGCAUAGCUCAGAGAUGAGUGAAAUCUCUUCGGAGACAUAUAGACAGGUGGUGCAUGGUUGUCGUCAGCUCGUGUCGUGAGAUGUUGGGUUAAGUCCCGCAACGAGCGCAACCCUUACUGUUAGUUGCUACGCAAGAGCACUCUAGCAGGACUGCCGUUGACAAAACGGAGGAAGGUGGGGAUGACGUCAAAUCAUCAUGCCCCUUAUGACCUGGGCCUCACACGUACUACAAUGGCUGUCAACAGAGGGAAGCAAAGCCGCGAGGUGGAGCGAACCCCUAAAAGCAGUCUUAGUUCGGAUUGUAGGCUGCAACCCGCCUACAUGAAGUCGGAAUUGCUAGUAAUCGCAGAUCAGCAUGCUGCGGUGAAUACGUUCCCGGGCCUUGUACACACCGCCCGUCACGCCAUGGGAGUUGGGAGUACCCGAAGUCAGUGACCUAACCCGAAAGGGGAGGAGCUGCCGAAGGUAAGACCGAUGACUGGGGUG
rnacentral:rRNA from 1 species